GCGUUGAUUCUGAAUUCAAUACUAUUAGAACAAUUUUUCUAGAAAACAAAUUCCUUUACAUAAAAUGAAUUACAUAGGGGGCUUUGCCCUUAUAUUCCCAGGCGAAGACACCGAUCCCUUUUCUUCGUAAAAGUCAAAUCUCGCAUGCUUCCAAUAGAUGCCUCCAUUUGCUCUUUUUUCUUGAUCUAGGCCACGACUUAUUACUCACUUAUCCUUGCAAUGCUUGUUAGCUCCUUUAAGAAAGUCAGGACAUGACGGCUCUCAAAUAAUCUUUAUCGGCUUGAAUCCUCGAGCAAUAAAACAAAGUCUUGUUUUCCUCCAUGAACUAUCAGCCUUCUCUCACUGUGUUUGCUUGGACCAUAUUCAGACAACAGUAUUAUAAUCCACUUUAUCAAGAAAUCCGUUUUCUCAUGACAAACUGUUCUAUUUAGAAAUCGAAUAUGAAUCAACACCUCUUUUCUAUGAUGAUGUAAUGCAAGGUGGACAUAAACAAAACAAAAACAAAACACGUUAGUACAGAAGAAAUAAAUAACAAAUAAAGUACCUAUUCGGGUGACCACUAAAUUUUGGCACGGUUAUACCUAAGGUGGACUCUCAAGGUUCAUUAUAUGUAGCCCGGUUCUAGAGAAAGGGUACUUGAACCAGCUGAUUCCUCAAUCCUCACCCAUUAUAGGCUCAUAUGGAUCGAGUUCAGUUCAGGGGGAUACAUUUCCCUAUGGCCAUGUAGAGAUGAAAAUCUCACGAAGACAUAGGUACAGAUGUAUCCCGGAAGUAAUCCACUAGUUCAUGCGGAGGUGAAAACCUCAUGAAGGCAUAGUUUCUCACUCCCACUUAAAAGGUGUGACCACAACGGUCAUGUAAUGCAGUGCAAUAGUCUACAAGACUCAAACCACAACAAUCAUACAAACAAAUGCAACAAAAAAUCAUGAUUUUCAAAUCAACGUUUCAAUUUUCGACAAAAGGAUAGAAAAUAAUCAAUUUCACGGCUUGACUCUCUUAUUGGUCCCCAGCGGAGUCGCCAAGCUGUCGAAACCAUUUUUUUAUAUUUUGAAAAACGAGGAUCGACUUUGAAACAAGGUAUGGAGUCGCCACCAAUCCUUUUUAUUCAGGUGUGAUUGGAUCAACUAAUAAAAUAUUUUAUUUUAUUAAAAUAUCAAAUUUAGCCUACGAAAUUUGAGAAAACGGGUUCGGUAGUCGGUUACAUACGAGGAAGGGUUAGCAUCCUCGUUACACCCAGAAUUGGUACCAAAUUGAUUAAAUAAUGUCCUUGUGUCUAAAAUUUAAAAAAAUUAUUUUGAAAUACAACUUCUUUUAAAACAUUUGAAUAACUCAAAUUGCACGUUAAAAUUCUCUUGUUUCGAAGGAAUACAAUAUCACAUCCAGCACGUUAGGACACGAUCCUUUAAACCCUUGAAACCACGAUCAAUUCUUGAUUUACAAAAACUCAUACAUUUGAAAAUUACAAAAGGAUAUCCGAUUAUUUGGUUCAACGAAAAAUCGAAACCCAACACGUAGGGCACGAUUUCUCGGAUUUCCAAACAUAGAAUAUUGCCUUGUUUUAAAAUUUAGAAAUCACGGACUAAAUUUUAAAGGAAUAUUUGAUUAUUUUGGGCAAAUGGAGAGUCGAAACUCAGCACGUUAGGGCACAAUUUCCUGAAUUUCCAAACAUCAAACAUUACCUUUGUUUUAGGAAAUUUUCAAAUAAAAAAUUGUAAAGCCAACUCAAAACGCAUUAGUUUGACUUGAAAUAAAAAUGAGACGACCAAUAUUAAUCAAAACAUUGAAAUUUGAAUCACGAUGCAAUAAUGUAGGAAAAUCAAGGUUACAAGUAUGAAACAAUAUACACAGAUGAAAUAUUAUACAAAUGAACAAAAAAGAACAAAUUAACAUACACACCAUAGCAAUGAGCUCACAUCCAAGAAACAAAUUAGAAUUAAAAUAUAACAAGUUUCGAACAUAGAUGAACAAAAAUUGAAAUAAUAAUACAAAAGACUAAUAAACGAUAUAAAACAAUAAUACGUGAAAUAAUAUGAAAACUAAAAAACAUAUAAUAUACAAAGCAAUAUGAAACUAGGAGCCAAUAUGAUACAAAACAAUUUAAAACAUAUGAGAAAUUACAUAUGAAUAACACAUGCUAGAAUUUGAAAUAAUUUACAUGUAUAUAAAAAAAACUACAACUAUAUAAAUUAUUAUUAAAAUAGAUGUUAUAAAAGAAGAAAUUUGAAUCAAAUAACGUACAAAAUAUUUUAAAAAUUGAUACAUCUAUUUAAAGUUGACAAUGUACAUACAAUAAAAAAUAAUUAAAUAUGUAAGGCUUUAAAUAAAAUAUGUACUUAAAGAAUGAAUUAUGUACAUGAUAGGUUUUUUUUAAAUAUAUAUAUAUAAAUAGAUUUAAAAGAAUUUAUAUAUAUAUAAUAACAUCGGAUUAGUAAUAUUCAUAGAAUACAACUAUCUUUUACAUAGACUAUAUAUAUUAAUAUAAGGAUAAUUUAAACUAAUAAUUAUACAAAAAAUUUAAAACGAUGUGGUAUAAAAGAGAAUUUUAAAAUAAUAAUUUUAUAAAAAACAAAGUAAAAUUAUCAAAGUAAUUCAAAAUAUAUACAAACAAUUAAAAAAUGAAUGUUAACUGAAUUUUAAAAAUAAUGAAUUAUAUAAAUUAAAAAGACUCAAUUAAAAUAAAAUUAAACUAAAAGAGAUACUUAAUAAAUAAAAUAAACCAUUGAAAUUGAAAAAAGGACUAAAGCGCAAUGCGCGCGAAUGCUCAGGGAUCAAAACUAGAAAUAUUCUAGCUCCCAAAACACAGCGUUUAAACGCGGACCAAAUUGAAUAUAUGCGUGAAUUACAGAGAUUAAUUAAAAACAGAGAAAAAAAAUAAGGCCUAAUUGAAUGACCAUGCAAAAGGGAGGGAUCAAUUGCGCAAAUGUUCCCUUUAAGCAGAACACGCGGAUCCUCCUGGGUAACCGGAUCGGGUCGGAUCGAGCAUGGCCUAUACAGUACCGUUUUAGAGCCAUUGAAAUAGGCUUAAAAUGGCACCGUUUUUGCUCCUUUAUAAAGGCUAAAAUCAAGCCAAAUUCGGUCGAACUAAACCCUAUCCCCUUUUGACUCUCCUUCAACCGAUCCCUAAUCUCAUUUUUAAACACCAGUCUACCAUUAUCAAAGUGACUUAAAGGAUUCAGACCUUGAAAGAUGCCAUUCUCGGCCAGGAAAUCCCUUCCACGCUCCAAUUUCAACGAAGCAGAUGAAAUCUCUUAGCGUAUUCAUAAGGUAAAGCUCUUGUUUUCUCUUUGUUUUUCCAAUACAUAUAAACUCUAAUGAAAGACUAAUAGAACCGAAAGAGAAAAGAAAAAUUAAAGAAUAUUUGAAUCAAAAAUCACCUUUUCAAUUUUGAUUGCUUUCUUUUCAAUAUGCGUGUGUUUUUCAAUACAUUGUUGUACUUGGCUUUUUAUAGCCAAAAUGUAAAAUCAAAUACACGUUUCUUUUUUUGCUUUCUCCUUUGCUGUAUUCUGUUGUGGUUUGUUAAUUUGUUACAGGAGGAGCCAGCUGGAGGUGGUGGCUCACGUGGAGACCGAUUCCAUGCGAGGCUGCGGCGCAAACUAGUCCUUGGGUUUCAGCUCUUGAAACCGAAGUUUGGGUCAUUUGGGUCCGUGAUUUGGGCCAUUGUAAUAGGCUGUUAAUUUUGUUAGGGAUUUGGGUUUAUUGUUGAGCUAAUAAAUGUAAAUGGAAUGGACUUUUAAAUUUGGACCUUUUAUUUGUUUUUUUAUUUUUGUUUUUAA
rnacentral:lncRNA from 1 species